UAAUGGAUCUCUCAGUCACAUCAACGCCCGAGUCUAUGGUGAUGAUAAUGUUUGUGCAAAGUGGAUGCCAAGUGACUGCACAAUCAAGGUUUCUGAGUAGUUGAAAUAGAUAAGUCUUGAGUCAAUCAGUACAUCUGUACCACAUUCAUGUGGCAAAUGCUGCUUUAUGGAGAUGUUUCUAAUACUGACCUACAAUAAUUCAGCCAAGAUCACGUUUCUACUGUCUUCAGGAAAUGAGAAAAAUGAAUCCAGGAAAUUUCCAUCUUUAACUAUACUCUGUAAAUGUGCUGUCCAAUACACAGAUAGCUACUGAGCACUGGAAUAUAGCUAGUCUGAAUGGAGAUGUUCUGUUUGACUUUUUUGGACUCCACAUGUGUGAGAUCAUGCAAUAUUUGUCUUUCUGUGCCUGGCUUAUUUCACUUAGCGUAAUGUCCUCCAGGCUCAUCCAGGUUGUUGCAAAAGGCAGGAUUUUCUUCUUUUUUAAGGCUUGGAGAGUCAUUUGUUUUCAUAAGAG
rnacentral:lncRNA from 1 species